rnacentral:rRNA from 1 species
UACGUGAGGGGCGAACGUUGUUCGGUGUCACUGGGCUUAAAGGGCGCGUAGGUGGCUGUGCAAGUAAGGUGUGAAAGCCCUCGCUUACCCGGGGGAAUUGCGCCUUAAACUGCAUGGCUUGAGGGUCUCAGGGGAUAGGGGAACUCCAGGUGUAGCGGUGAAAUGCGCAGAUAUCUGGGGGGAAGGCCGGCGGCGAAGGCGGCGAUCCUGGACCGGCAUUGACGCUGAGGCACGAAAGCGUGGGGAGCAAAGCAGG